rnacentral:misc_RNA from 1 species
CAGAGUUCCUGCCCUCACGGGUAGAAACCCCACCCUUGUGUAUACUAUAUUGUUGCUUUGGCAGGCCGCCUUACGGCGUUGGCUUACGUUGACCGUGCCUGCUAGAGGACCCUAAACUCUGUUUGUCUAUACUGUCUGAGUACUAUAUAAUAGUUA